rnacentral:rRNA from 1 species
AAUCAACGCUGGCGGCGUGCCUAACACAUGCAAGUCGAACGCGAAAGCGUCUUCGGACGUGAGUAGAGUGGCGUCCGGGUGAGUAACACGUAGGUAAUCUACCUUCGGGUGGGGAAUAACGCCUCGAAAGAGGCGCUAAUACCGCAUAACGCAGCGGCAGCUAAUGCUGAUUAGUUGUUAAAGCGGGGGACCGAGAGAUCGGCCUCGCGCCUGAAGAGGAGCCUGCGGCAGAUUAGCUAGUUGGCGGGGUAACGGCCCACCAAGGCGACGAUCUGUAGCUGGUCUGAGAGGACGGCCAGCCACACUGGCACUGACACACGGGCCAGACUCCUACGGGAGGUAGCAGUGGGGUAAGUUUUGGGCAAUGGGCGAAAGCCUGACCCAGCAACGCCGCGUGAGGGAGGAAAUCCUUCGGGAUGUAAACCUCACAAGCAAGGGAAGAGCGCAUGAAGGAGAAUACCCUUCAUGCCCGACGGUACCUUGCGUAAGCCACGGCUAACUACGU